AUUGAACGCUGGCGGCAGGCUUAACACAUGCAAGUCGAGCGGGGUGAUGGUGCUUGCACUAUCACUUAGCGGCGGACGGGUGAGUAAUGCUUAGGAAUCUGCCUAUUAGUGGGGGACGACAUCUCGAAAGGGAUGCUAAUACCGCAUACGUCCUACGGGAGAAAGCAGGGGAUCACUUGUGACCUUGCGCUAAUAGAUGAGCCUAAGUCGGAUUAGCUAGUUGGUGGGGUAAAGGCCUAACAAGGCGACGAUCUGGAGCGGGUCUGAGAGGAUGAUCCGCCACACUGGGACUGAGGCACGGCCCAGACUCCUACGGGAGGCAGCAGUGGGGAAUAUUGGACAAUGGGGGAAACCCUGAUCCAGCCAUGCCGCGUGUGUGAAGAAGGCCUUAUGGUUGUAAAGCACUUUAAGCGAGGAGGAGGCUCUUUUGGUUAAUACCCAAGAUGAGUGGACGUUACUCGCAGAAUAAGCACCGGCUAACUCUGUGCCAGCCGCCGCCGUAA
rnacentral:rRNA from 1 species